CCUGCCGGCUGAAGACCUCCGGCGUCUGCUGGAUCUCAUCACCGGUUGCCUGUUCCCAAUCCCCUGGAGCGCCUGAAAAAGAGGACCAGGACGGAGCAGGAGGCUUCCGAUAUAGAGCUGAUGGAGCCCUGGCUGACACGAUCAGAGUGGAUCCGAGAGAGGGUCCUGCAGGCCAGUUGCCAGGUGCUGGCUGCCUUCCAGGCCACGGCGAGUCUUCCGGAGGAUCCCUUCCAGAACAGAUCUUAGAGGACAGGUUGGUCCUCCGGCUUUCCGAGGCCCUUUCAAUAGGUUUUGUACUUUUCUUGGUAAGAUGGAGAAAAUCUGAAAGCCUAUGGUGCCCGGGUGGCCUUCCUAGCCCCAUAUACCUGGGAGAGCUCCAUUGAGUGCCGGCGAUGGGCGGCCAAGGGCAUCACCCACUUGAUCUGCAUUCAAGGUGAGAACGUUGGCGGUGGAGAUGGGAUCCAUUUAUAAAUGUUGGGUAUGACCCCCUUCCAAGAACGGAGGGCUUCAAGGCAUAUCAGUGGA